CUCUCAAUGCCCUGCGGGCUUGUAAUUGGUGCUGAAAACUUGAUGUAAUAAAUCUUUAUAUACAAUCAAGACAGCGUCGGCGAAUUUCUCUUCAGACACAUCAUCACAUCAUCGCUACUCAAGAUACAACACAGAAAACCUGAA